AUUGAACGCUGGCGGCAGGCCUAACACAUGCAAGUCGAGCGAGCGGCGGACGGGUGAGUAAUGCCUGGGAAUUGCCCAGUCGAGGGGGAUAACAGUUGGAAACGACUGCUAAUACCGCAUACGAUUGGAUUGCCCAGGUGGGGUUAGCUAGUUGGUGAGGUACUGGCUCACCCAGGCGACGAUCCCUAGCUGGGCUGAGAGGAUGAUCAGGCACACUGGAACUUAGACACGGUCCAGACUCCUACGGGAGGCAGCAGUGGGGAAGAGUGCACAAUGGGGUAAACCCUGAUGCAGCCAUGCCGCGUGUGUGAAUAAGGCCUGCAGGUUGUAAAGCACUUUCAGCGAGGAGGCGUUACUCGCAGAAGAAGCACCGGCUAACUCCGUGCCAGCAGCCGCGGUAAUUC
rnacentral:rRNA from 1 species